rnacentral:rRNA from 1 species
GACGAACGCUGGCGGCGUGCUUAACACAUGCAAGUCGAACGAAGAGGCGAACGGGUGAGUAACGCGUAAUCAACCUGCCCUUCAGAGGGGGACAACAGGUGGAAACGACUGCUAAUACCGCAUACUGAAGGAGGAGACUGCGUCUGAUUAGCUAGUUGGAGGGGUAACGGCCCACCAAGGCGAGGAUCAGUAGCCGGUCUGAGAGGAUGAUCCGCCACACUGGGACUGAGACACGGCCCAGACUCCUACGGGAGGCAGCAGUGGGGAAUUUUGGACAAUGGGCGCAAGCCUGAUCCAGCCAUGCCGCGUGUCUGAAGAAGGCCUUCGGGUUGUAAAGGACUUUUGUCAGGGAAGCGGUACCUGAAGAAUAAGCACCGGCUAACUACGUGCCAGCAGCCGCGGUAAUAC